CCUUUUGCAUUUCACGCGGACUGCACAGAGAUGAAGCGACACGACCUUGAAAAGGAAACAACUUUGUCUUGAGGAACCUAUAUGGCAGAGAUUAUUGGUGGAAGUUGGCACUUAAUCACCAAGAAUAUGAGUGAGCAAGGAAUCGGCCCCAUAGGCAGAGGCGAUGAUGACUUGAGACAAGAUUCCUCUCAACUGCGUGAAAAUUCCCGGUCAAACACUCAAUUUCUCCCGGCUAGUCCUGUUUCUUUUUAUCAGAAAUAACAACCAAACCCCAACCCAAUAUAAAAAAGGGAAACAAAGAAAGAAAAACGAACCCCAUCGAAGGGAGAGCUGGCCCUAUCAAAAGAGGUUGGUUGCUGCCUAGGCCCACCACUCAAAAAAUGUCUUAACUUGUGCAAUAAGAAGAUAACAGUGAUGAGGAACAACAAAGCUUUUCCCUCUCCCAUCCAAAUAGUUGGAAGCAGAGAGGAGGGAGAAGGUGGCAAGUAGUAGGCGAAACUCAAAAUGGAAAUGGAGCAAAAAAGGAAAAAAUUUCCAAUGUUUAUAGGCACAUCCAC
rnacentral:lncRNA from 1 species